AGUGAACGCUGGCGGUAGGCCUAACACAUGCAAGUCGAACGGCAGCACAGUAAGAGCUUGCUCUUACGGGUGGCGAGUGGCGGACGGGUGAGGAAUACAUCGGAAUCUACUUUUUCGUGGGGGAUAACGUAGGGAAACUUACGCUAAUACCGCAUACGACCUACGGGUGAAAGCAGGGGAUCUUCGGACCUUGCGCGAUUGAAUGAGCCGAUGUCGGAUUAGCUAGUUGGCGGGGUAAAGGCCCACCAAGGCGACGAUCCGUAGCUGGUCUGAGAGGAUGAUCAGCCACACUGGAACUGAGACACGGCCCAGACUCCUACGGGAGGCAGCAGUGGGGAAUAUUGGACAAUGGGCGCAAGCCUGAUCCAGCCAUACCGCGUGGGUGAAGAAGGCCUUCGGGUUGUAAAGCCCUUUUGUUGGGAAAGAAAAGCAGCAGGUUAAUACCCCGCUGUUCUGACGGUAACCAAAGAAUAAGCACCGGCUAACUUCGUG
rnacentral:rRNA from 1 species